rnacentral:rRNA from 1 species
AGUGAACGCUGGCGGUAGGCCUAACACAUGCAAGUCGAACGGCAGCACAGAGGAGCUUGCUCCUUGGGUGGCGAGUGGCGGACGGGUGAGGAAUACAUCGGAAUCUACUCUGUCGUGGGGGAUAACGUAGGGAAACUUACGCUAAUACCGCAUACGACCUACGGGUGAAAGCAGGGGAUCUUCGGACCUUGCGCGUUUGAAUGAGCCGAUGUCGGAUUAGCUAGUUGGCGGGGUAAAGGCCCACCAAGGCGACGAUCCGUAGCUGGUCCGAGAGGAUGAUCAGCCACACUGGAACUGAGACACGGUCCAGACUCCUACGGGAGGCAGCAGUGGGGAAUAUUGGACAAUGGGCGCAAGCCUGAUCCAGCCAUACCGCGUGGGUGAAGAAGGCCUUCGGGUUGUAAAGCCCUUUUGUUGGGAAAGAAAUCCAUCUGGUUAAUACCCGGGUGGGAUGACGGUACCCAAAGAAUAAGCACCGGCUAACUUCGUGCCAGCCGCCGCGGUAA